AUUGAACGCUGGCGGCAGGCCUAACACAUGCAAGUCGAACGAGUGGCGGACGGGUGAGUAAUGUCUGGGAAACUGCCUGAUGGAGGGGGCUAACUACUGGAAACGGUAGCUAAUACCGCAUACCAUCAGAUGUGCCCAGAUCGGAUUAGCUAGUUGGUGGGGUAACGGCGCACCAGGGCGACGAUCCCUAGCUGGUCUGAGAGUAUGACCAGCCACACUGGAACUGAGACAAGGUCCAGACUCAUACGGGAGGCAGCAGUGGGGAACAUUGGACGAAGGGCGAAAGACUGAUGGAGCAAUGCCGCGUGUAUGAAGAAGGCCAUAGGGUUGUAAAGUACUUUCAGCGGGGAGGCGUUACCCGAAGAAGAAGAACCGGCUAACUACGUGCCAGCAGACGCGGUAAUUC
rnacentral:rRNA from 1 species